GCCAGACUCCUACGGGAGGCAGCAGUGGGGGAUAUUGGACAAUGGGGGGAACCCUGAUCCAGCGACGCCGCGUGAGUGAAGAAGUAUUUCGGUAUGUAAAGCUCUGUCAGCAGGGAAGAAAGCAAUGACGGUACCUGACCAAGAAGCCCCGGCUAACUACGUGCCAGCAGCCGCGGUAAUACGUAGGGGGCAAGCGUUAUCCGGAUUUACUGGGUGUAAAGGGAGCGUAGACGGUAGCACAAGUCUGGAGUGAAAUGCCGGGGCUUAACCCCGGAACUGCUUUGGAAACUGUGAAGCUGGAGUGCAGGAGAGGUAAGCGGAAUUCCUGGUGUAGCGGUGAAAUGCGUAGAUAUCAGGAGGAACACCGGCGGCGAAGGCGGCUUACUGGACUGUAACUGACGUUGAGGUUCGAAGGCGUGGGGAGCAAACAGGAUUAGAUACCCCUGUAC
rnacentral:rRNA from 1 species